GACGGGGGGUCCUAGCGUUGUUCGGAAUCAUUGGGCGUAAAGCGUGUGCAGGUGGUCUAGAAGGUUAGAUGUGAAAGCCCCGGGCUUAACCCGGGAAGUGCAUUUAAAACUCCUAGACUUGAAUAUGAAAGAGGGUCGUGGAAUUCCUAGUGUAGUGGUGAAAUACGUAGAUAUUAGGAGGAACAUCGGCGGCGAAGGCGGCGACCUGGUUCAAUAUUGACACUCAUACACGAAAGCGUGGGGAUCAAACAGG
rnacentral:rRNA from 1 species